AGAAUCCCAGCUGUCUGUGUAUGUGUUGUAUAUAUUUUGGAGUGCUGCCUGGACGGGAUGGGUGUUUACCUCCCACCCACCGCACACUUUUUUUUAUUUCUUUUUCUCUAGUUUUAUAAUUUGUACAACAAUCAGCGUAUUAAUUUAACCGUUUAGUCAUGUUGUUCUUCCUUUCUUUCACCCUUCCUUAAUUGUCGAUGUGAAUGUAAUCAAAGAGAGCUUCUGUCUCUCUGACACACGUUCACACACAUACGCAUACAUACAAACAUAUAUGCACCAAGCACACCGCUUACUGCACCGACACCCCUUCAAAUAUGCGGAUGUCGUUCCUGGGUACUUGCAUAUCAGUGUCUCUCUCUAUCCAGCCCCCACUAAAAACAAGAGGAAACCGUCAACAAACAUCACCGUAGCCACCGUCACUACUACUGCCAUUCACAACAACAGCAACCCGUGCCAUUUAUGCCUGACAAGCGAUGCUAAUAGUAAGUCUUGUAGAAUUUGGAGAGUGAAAUUAUUUCUAAUACCCAAAUGUUCUCACACACAUCUAUCAGAGGAUUAAUCUUCAAGUAUAUGCAACCACUAUCACCAUCGCUAACAGCAAGAACCAAGCUUUUUUCCUUAUGACGGAAAUUGAUUAAACAGAAAAUGAGUCGGUUUAUUGAAACUAAUUUAAAACGCUUCUUCCCUUCUAAUAACGAAACUUAGAAGCUUAACCUUACGAAGAGAGAAAGAAAGAAAGAAGAAAGAAUUACUAAAGUCUCUCGACAUACCGACUGACUGAGCUAUUUACUUACAUAUUUACCUCGUUACUACCUAACCUUGUAGUUUUGCUGUUUAACAGCGAAAUAUUUUAAAUAUUCAAGAUUUAAAGAGAAAGAAAAUAGGAUUGUUUCGCGUGAGCCGUUUUUCCAGUGGUGGUUGUUCAUGGAAUUGAAAUGGAUAUAUACUUGAAGGAGAAAACUAGUUGAUUCUGAUUGGAAUUUACCUGAAUGGAACGAUGAAGUGCUCGUUGCUUGAUGGCGCUGGCACACAGCUUGCUUCCUGCCACGCUUUAGGAUUAUUAUCUUUUGCAAAGAUUACGGCAAGGUGAAAAAGAAAAACCGAAAAAGAAAACAAAUAAAGGAAAGCUGCUGGGUAAGAAGACCCGGCUUGCUUCUUUUUGCUUCUAUCUUCUACUUCUUUAGAAGUAGAAGAAGCAGGAGCCGCAGAAAAGAUUCUGCCUCACACUUGCAAGAAGCAGUGCCGUAACAGGCGACAGAAUUUUAAGGAAUUCGGGAUUUUUUGUUGUUGUUAUUUUUAAGUUCUUUUGUAAAAGAAAAGUUAAUAGAAACCAAACCCCAUCAAAAUAAUUAAUAAUAGGGGUAUAAUUAAACAUGGCGUCGCCGCCCGAAGAAUGUUUCAUGCAAAGUCCUUUAGUUAUUUGGAUUGAUACUUUUCGGGAAGCAAAUUCUCCGGCGAUACAAUACAAAGAUAUUUACGGAGGUGUUUUCCUAACAACUGUAAUGAAUCAGAUUACACAAGGCUUUGAAAGAUUCAAUUCAGGAGACCCACAAACUGUUUACAGCAAAGUUAAUACUAACAUCAGUGAUGUUAAUGCUAGAAUUCAGAACUGGGAUAAUUUAGUAAAAAACAUAAAAGCAUAUUACUUGGAGGUCCUUCAACAAAUUUUAAUCAUGAGACUACCUAACAUUCAGUUAGUUUGUAGAGAACCUGAAAAGGAUGCUAGCUUUGAAGAGUUAAAGAAAGCUCUUUUACUUGUACUUGGUUGUGCUGUGCAGUGUGAGCGUAAAGAAUACUUCAUUGAGAAGAUUAAAACUUUAGAUAUUAAAGUACAGCAGGCAAUUGUUGAACUUAUAAAGGAGGUAACUGAUGACACUCAAACUGUACUUCCCACUGGCCCAUCUGAGCAACUGGAUGUCUAUUUGGAAAAAUCUCUUAAUCAUUUAAACAAACUCAUCAUUGAAAGAGAUGAACUUGCUGAAGCUGUUUCGGAACUUAAGCAAGAACAAGAAAUUUACCAAUCACAGAUUGAGGGAAAUACUACUUGGACAACUGGAAGUCCGGAGAAACAUCAUCUAGUUGUUGAAUUAGCGGAUUGUAAAGCCAAAGUGCGGAGACUUCGACAAGAAUUAGAAGAGAAGACCGAGCUUUUAUCUGAUGUCAUGGAUGAACUUGAUGAUAACAAGUCCCAGCUUCAAAAAACGAAGACUGAAUAUAAUGAAAUUUAUCAAGAAGCUAAAACAGCCAGAGCUUACAGAGAUGAGAUUGAUAUGCUCAGGGAAAAAGCUGUCAAGGUGGAAAGCUAUGAAAAUGAAAUCUUAAAAUACAAGGAAAAGCUCAACGAGUUGGAGUUCUGUAGAUCUAGAAUCGAUGAACUUAAGGAAGAUAACAGAAUUUUGGUGGAAACUCGUUCUAUGCUUGAGGAACAAAUAAGCAACACAUACAAACGUAUGGAUGCUGUGAAGGAAUUAGAAAGGGACUUGAUGAAGUGUAAAAAUCAAAUGCAAGAGCUGACUCUGGAACUUGAUACUGAAAAAGAGAAGGUACGGGUAUUAACGGAAGAAAAUGCCUUGUUAGAAUUUGAGAAAAAAAAUCGACUCCAACAAAACACUACUCUUGAGAAGGAACUUGAAGAAGCACACACGAGGACUUCUGGCAUCAGUCUGUCUGACCAGCUGAAUGAAACUUCGAAUGCCAAAGUUCUUCGACUAGAAUUAGAAAAUCAGUUACUUCAGCAAAAGAUCGAAGAACUGAGAGAAAAUUCUUUAUUAGAAAGUAGUGCUCUAAAUUUGGAACAAGAGAAAGAGAAUAAGCGACUUUCUAAAAAAGUUGAAUCUUUGCAGGGAGAGAUGAAGUCACAAUCAGAGAGGUGUAUAGAGUUAGAACAGAAAACAAAAGAAUUUGCUGAUGAGAAGGAGAAACUUUUGCUUAUGAUUGAAACUGUCAAAGAAAAUACUGAAAGACAGCUGAAUGAGGUUAAAAGAGAAAAAGAACAUUUAGCUGAAACAAUAUCUUCACUGCGUGAGAGAAAUGAAAAAUCAAAUGAUAGCAGAGUGAAGGAACUUGAAAAAGAAAAUAAAAAUCUCCAUGACAAAGUUUCAGAAACUGCUGCCAGAAUUUCAAAAUUAGACUUUGAAUAUCAACAGCUUCAAAGGGCUAAUGACAAAAUGAAAGCUAACUGUGAAAGACUGAAUGAGCUCGAACAUUCCAACACUAGUUUAGAGCGUAUAAAUUCUGACUUGAAGAAUGCAGUCAGCACUCUAAAGCUUGCCUGUGAUAAAUAUGAAACUACAGAAGAGGAUAACUCUCGCUUAGAAAUAGAAAACAAAAAACUAAACAAAACCAUUGAAAGUCUUCAGUUAUCUUUAUCUAAGCAAGAAAUGCUUAUUGAAGAACACAUUUCGUUAACUUUAGAAAACCAGAAACUACAAAAGACUCUAGAGUCAUUAAAAGGUGCAACAGACAAAGUUCUAGAAUUGGAUAAUGAGAAAGAUGAACUAAAUCGGGAAAUUCAGCAAUUAAAGAAAACCAUUGAGUCUCAGCGAAUUGAACGGGUCAAAUAUGAACAGAUGGAAAUGGAUGUAUUAGAUAUGGACAAUGAGAACCAGAAGCUUCAGAAAACGUUAGAGAUGACCACCCGGCGUUUGCAACAGUUGGAGAAGGACAACAAUGACUUGGAAGUUGAAAAUGAAAAGCUACAAAUUUCCAUCGAGAGUUUGAAACUUUCCUGUAAGAAACUGGAAAACAAAGAAGAAGAAAAUAAAGAGUUGGAUAAUGAGAUAAUUAAAUUAAACAAGGACAAAUCAGCCCUUGAGAAAGAAAAUAAAAAGCUCAAACAUGUUCUAGAAGCUACUGGAGCUCACUUAGAUGAAAUCACCUCAAAGCAUAAUAUUCUUGAGAAAGACUAUAAAGCUUUAAAAAAGACCCUUGAUAAAAACAAAGAUGCUAAUGAGCGGAUACGGGAGUUUGAAAAAGAAAACAAAGAUUUGCAGCAGCAACUUCUUGUAAACAAGAAGACCCUUGCUACUUUGAGAGAGGAUUUGGUAAAUGAGAAGAUUCAGAUGCAACAGCUUCUGAAUGAACGAGAGAAACUUGGUCAAGAACUGGAACAGAUCGGUCUCAAGAGAGAAGAGCUAAUGAAGAAUCAUGAAUCAGAUGAAAGUCGGUUCCAGAUCUUUGAAAAUAUGAUGCAAGAUGCUAUAAAGAAAAAUACAGAAAUAAAAGAGGACAAGAUUCUUUCAUUGGAGAGUAGACUAGAGGAGUCCAAGAACAGAAACAUGAAAUUACAAGAAGAACUUCGCUCAGUUAAGAGGGAUUGUGAAUCACUCAAACAACGACUUGAAGAAGAGUUCCAAGAUGGGAACACAUCAUCUGUUGUAAAUAUCAGUAAUCCUACAAGACAGAUUUUGGAAAUAAAAGACAGAGUGGUUGAGGUUGAAAGAGAUAAUGCUACAUUGCUGGCUGAAAAUAAAAACCUUAAGCGCCAACUAGAAAUAAUAGAUCAACAAAUAGCUAAAAAGGAUAAUGAUUACCACAAGCUUCAAUAUCAGUUAAGUACACUUCAUGAACAAAAUAACACCAGCCAUUCACAGCAUGCAAAGAUUGAAGUAGAGAACAAAACCUUACAGACGCAAUGCACAUCACUGCAAGCACAGAACUCCACAUUGCAAUCUCAGUUGAACAAUGCAGAUCUAGAGAAUGAGAGAAAUUUGCAGCGUAUUGAAGAACUACAAAACAAAUAUGACUCUUUAGUUUCUGCACAUGAAACUUUGCAAAAGCUCCAUGAUGAUCUUACCACUGAAUAUGAGUCCCUUAUUUCUGAGCAUGGGUCUCUGAAAACCACACAUAAGUCAAGUUGUGGUGAAAUGAAAGACCUACAAGAUCAACUAUCUAUUUUACUUCGAGGCAAGAAUGAUAUCACUAAGCUGCGAGAAAUGCUUGAGAAAGAGAGGGAACAGUUGAAAGUAGAGUCCAAGUCACUGAGUAACCUGCAAAUGGAUUAUAAUCAUAUGAGGAACAAAUAUGAUAAUUUGCACACAGCAUAUGAGCGUUUGGAAAAGGAGCAUCAAGAUCUUGGAGUGGAGUACAAGAGAAUAAAAACUGAAUAUAAUGAUUUGCAACUCCGUUACACUGAACUUCAAGGAGAUGCUGCAGAAAGCAGGGAGCAGCUCAGCAAUACCGAUCUUGAGAUGACAAAACUAGCCACUCGUUGUGAAGCAAUUGAUCAAAUGAAUCAAAAGAUGGAAGAAGAAAAUAACCAAUUGCUGUAUCAGAUGAAGACUUUGAUAAACCAAAAUCAAGAGCUUCUCAGUGAAGCUCUCAACAGUAAAGACCAGCAUGCAGAGACUGCAAAAGCUUAUCAAGAGAAAUUUGCUGAAUUGCGCCGGCAGAAAGAGAGACUAGAAGAGAAAAUAAUGGAACAUUAUAAGAUGCGCCUAGAAUCUCCCAAAAAACGCAGCCUUGGAGCCACUCUAGUACGGAAAGCAAGAGGUAUUAUAACACGGGUCCAUCGAACAAAAAGCAAGACAAAUUUAACCAAUUCUGAAAGUCCUGAUAACUCAUCUGUUGGUUCAGGAUCCUGUGGAGAAGCAGCUGAUGCUGAUAGUAAUAGUGGGCGAAGAAUUACCAAAGUACAGAAAACAAAUGAAAAAGCUCAUGAGGUUUCAUUUGUCAAGCAAAACAAAAGCUUUAUGAUGUCAACAACUCUGUUGUUUUACAAACUGGACUCCAACAAUGUUAGAGGUUCCAGAUCUAGUGAAGACCUUGUGAACUUUGAUUCUGCUAGUAGAGAUGGCACAUACUCUCUAGGAGGCAAAAUGGCUGAUGUAGAUGAUGACUAUCAUCGAUCCCCUUCAACAAUUCAUGGUAGACAAUCUCCAGGCAGCGAACUUCUCACACUAGAACAAUUUCUUAAAGAAUCAAAUCCUGAUUCUCCUACAUUGAGAACCAAAGGUCAAGAAAGGAAACUGAACGAAGGUGUCAGUUUUUCCCAAAGUGAACAGCUGAAGAGAAAUAAAAUAUCUGAAGGUUCUUCUAAUUUGAAUCCUGGUGGAAAAUAUCCAGUGAGAACUGAGCAAGACCAUUAUCAACGGCACGUUUAUGAGCAGUCUAACCAAAACUCUACCUUUAACCAUUCCAACUCUUCCAGACACUUAUCAGAACCAUAUUCAAAUAACCUAGAUCCAUCAUCAAAAGUCAUAAAUAAUUCUCACCAAGAACUGUCCAAAGUGUCUCGUAGUUCUUCUAACAAUGGUGAGAGUACAGGAGAUAGUAAAACAGAUCUGCACUCCACCUAUGUCCAGCCAGUAACUAAUAAAGAUGGUGUAAAAACUCCUACUCCUAAAGUUAGACGACGCUAUCCAGAGAGUAAUUAUUUCCAGAAUCACCGCUAUCAGACAGACAGUCAACAAGCUGAUCACUUACAGUCUCAGAAUUCUGUCUCACAAGAGCCAUACAUUGUAUUGAGGUCUGCAAAAUCUUACAAUCACAUUGCUACUCAACAAGCACCACAAUCUCAUGAUUUAUCGAAUCGGUCAGUCACUCCUGGUACUGUUGACCAGAUGUAUGCCCCUGCACAUGUCAGUCAGUCAAUGCCAUACCCAGAGCCACAUUACUUAUCUCGUGAACAGUCUCCCAUGAGUGAUAACCGACAGAGUAACUUUAUGAAGCCAGCUGAAAGGCCUACUUCUAUGCACUUCAACAAUCAACCAAAUCAAGGGCCAUCUUCACGCCCUACAGGAUCUGCUUCCCCUUUCCCCAAAAGACCAAGAGACUCUCCUAACCUCUACAAAACGGAUCCCACUCUUUCCAAAAGUGAACUGUCUUUAAAUAAAAGAACAUCACGAUCUCCUGAGUAUGCUUACGACAAUGCAGCAUCUAACAGCCAAACAUUUAAUGACUAUCACUCAUUAGGCAUGUCUGUUGACAAACCUACAUCUUCAAAUAACAUUUUGGAGAUCUGCGAAGCAGAUGAGUCUUAUCCAUAUCGGUCUCGCUCGCGGGGUACCCCUCCAAAACCAAUAAACAGAGACCCCAAUAAUUACACACACACUGUUACUAACAAUUCUAAUCACCAAGACACACACCAGAUGCUGCCUACAUCAUCAUCUUCAUCUUCAUUGUUACAAUCACAGGCUGGAUAUUCUCGAAAUUCCAGUGCACAACCAAGUUAUACAGGAGGCAAUGUGAAAAAUGCUCCAAUGGCAAGAAUCUCCCCACAAACAAAACAACUAAAUACCCAGCAGCACCUCAGUCUAAGCAAUGCCACUACCACUACCCCCACCACUACAACUACAACCACUAACAGCAACAGCAAGUCAUCUGACGAAUCAAAGGACCCCAAAACCAAUUCUGUGUGGUAUGAAUAUGGUUGUGUAUAAAAACAUAGUCUUCCCCCACUUUCAUUGCUGCUCUUUAUAAUCUGUUAACAUGUGGUUGUUUUUGCUGACCACUUUCUGCCAUCUGCUUCCAUUUCUACAUUCCAAACCAUAAUUUAAUCUGCAGAUUAAAUAACCUCACCUUUGUAGAUUCAAAAUUGUUGUUUUCAAGUGUUGGUUUUUUCAGCUUUGUUUGCAUUUUAAAAAUAAUUUAAAAUCACUAACACUUUUUUCUAUCCUUAAAUCAAUAUUUACAAUUUUCGUUCCAUUUCUUGAAGGGUAAUCAUUAGAGCACCAUCACUCCCAUCCAUUUAUGCUCACAAUUCUAAUGGUCUCUUGAAAAUCUUCUAAGGGCUUCAUUAAAAACCUAUCUUAGGUGUUUGCUAUGCAAGAUGGGAUAGAGCAUUCAUACAUUCAUUUUGAAGUUGGGAUACACAGCAGAAUUUUUUUUUUUUAACUAAUCCGUAAAUUAACUUUCAUAAUAUUUAUUUAAAUAAAGGUGGCAAGCUGGCAGAAAUAUUAGCACACUAGGUGAAAUGCUUAGUGGUAUUUCGUCUGUCUUUACAUUCUGAGUUCAAAUUCUGCCGAAGUCAACUUUGCCUUUCAUCCUUUCAGGGUCGAUAAAUUAGGCAGUCAAUCAGAUUGAUCCCAGUUGCAUACUGAGAUCAAUCUGAUUGAUUGCCUCCUACCCCCAAAAUUUCGAGCCUUGUGUCUAGAGUAGAAAAGAAUACAUUUAAUUUUCGUUAGAAAUGUAUACAAUUUCACCCCUGCUUCAGAUUUCUUUAUUUCUGACAAGUUUUAAAUUUCUUAACAAAGAGUAUGUAAAGUUAAUACCAUUGAUGAAACAUUCCGGUUUUUUUUUCCAUCUAAAUUGUUCAGUUUCAUAAUAACUGUAACAGCAACUAUAUUUCAUUUUGUCAAUGUUCUGCUCUGGAAAGAUUUAAUUCUCCAACAUAUUUAAAUUAGGAUCUGUUCCAUUUUGAUUUGAGAACAUUAGAAGUUCAUUCGAAAGGAAAACGGUAUGUGAAAUCAAGGGAAGUGGGACAGAGACUAAAACUGAUUCUGUAUUUAUUGGUUGUUUCAAAAUUGUUUUUUUAUUUUCUGAGAAUUUUGAUUAAUGAGGUGCUCUGCAUUUUUGUUAUCAGUGUUGCUUGUUCUAUUUAUUUUGUUCAAAAAAAUGCAACCAUCUUAGCACCAAACAAAAAUGUUAUGUUUCGUAACUUUGCUUAUUAUCAUUGGCCUUGAGUACCAGUCAUGCACUGGGGUGGUUUCAACUGAUGACACCUAAAUUGUGGCUUUUGUGUCCUGUUAAAAACCGUUUUAAAUCUUGUCUGUCAUUGCCAACUUUGCCUUUUGUCCCUACAUGAUCAGUCAUUAAAACCAGUACCAAUGAGUCGAUUCCACUGACUUUUCUUUUUGUCCCGACAAAGCUUGCUCCACCCCAUACUUAGAGAAAAUAAUUCUAUUAGGAAUGUCUGUGUAGAAGCAGAAAUGAUCAGUCUUGUGGUAUAUAUUUACAUCACUACAUUGUGAGUUCAAAUCCCAUUAGGAUUGACUGUCUUUCCUUCACACUGAGUCUUAAAUCCAUUCACAUUUUCCAAUAAAAUAGUGGGGAUGUCAACAACAUAUACCUGUUUGUUUUUCUAAUGUAAGAAUUAUUCAUUCAUAAUAAUGCUGCAGAAAUGAUAGCAUUAGACUAAAUGCAAGCUACUGCACAUUCAAUGUAUCCUUGUUUCAGUUUAAAUGACUACACUCUUUCCCUCAAGUUUGUGGCCUUAUGCCAAAAUGAAAAUCCAAUAUUGCUUCUUCAGUAUCAAGCAUUUCUGGAGUUCAAAAAUUUUUCUAUGUAAAAAUAGGCUUGGUGUCCAUGAGUUUUCCCAAGAAUUUUUAAUUUUAUCCCCCUCCCAAGGCAGGUAACACUUCAUCUCAAGGCUAAACUAAAUUUUGUAAACUAGACCUUCACUUCUAUAUUUUAAUGUUUUCCCCUCAAACAUGUCAUAUUUGGAAGUUGUUUCUGUAAAAGAAAAAGAAAAUCUGAGGUGAAAAUGGUUAAGGCAAUGGACUAAAUGAAUCACAUUGUUUUGAUUUUCUCAGUUGAAAUCCUGCCAGAGAUGGAAUCAUUUGUCAUCUCAAGGUUAAUUAAUAGUAAAAUAAAUUACAAGUUGGUUUUAUCAACUGUUACUUGAUCCUCAAGUGUGCAUCCAUUGUUACCAUUCAUGAAACAUCACACAUUUGCUCUUUCUUGCUAUUCUAUAUAAGUAUCAAAGCUCAUCCUCAGUGCUAUUUAUCUCAUUGGUGCAAUAUUUAAUAGUUAUUCAAAAUUGUCUGUGAUUUCACCACACCUUUCUUUAUUUCAAUUCUUUGAGGAAAGUGAGUUUAAACUAUUUUAACAAAUAACACCCAAUUUUGUUAGUUUUUAUUGUUUUCUGUUGCUCCAUACUAAAGCUUGCUUUGUGAUAUUCCCAAUUCCAUUAAUUGCCCUCUUUGUUUAUAAUCUUUCCAUGUGAGAAUCAAUGGAAGUGCUAUCAUCCAAUACCAUACAAAAAAAAAAAACACAAAAAGUAUUUUACAUUUGUGAAAAAAAAAAAUCAUUUACAAAUAAAAACAUUUUAAAUACCAUUUACAAAUAAAAACAUUAAAAAAAUUUUAAUUGUUUACUUGAUAGGUUUUUAAAUUUUAACAGUAUUAAAAAGUAGAUUGGUGGCAAUUUUCUAAUUGCUUAACUAGAAAACUUUGCUCCUGCCUUUUGUGGACAAACCAUUUCAUUUCUCUUUGCAAAUUUUUUCAAAAUGUGGAAUAAUCUUGACAAGACAUAAUUGUACACAUCUGAUAAUUUGUACAAAAAAUGUCACAUUACCAUGAAAUAAAUACUAUUCAGUAUCACAUUAACAUUGGUACUGAAGUGGCUAAAGUUGCUUUCUCAUUGACUUUUUAUUAUACUAUUCAACUUCAAGCCUAAUGAAGACCUGUCAUUUGAUACCUAAAAUCUGAUCAGACAUUUUGUUUACUUCCAGCUUCAGUCAGUCAUCGUGUUUUCCAAUAGCAUUAGCAACCUUAUAAUGUAAAAACCAAUGAAAUCUUGAAGUGCAACUCGGUUGUCGCGCUUCCAAAUCUAAACCUGGUAACUUUAGUGGCAGUAUUUAAGCAUAUUCUUUAGAAGCUACCUUGUAAACUCAGCAUUUACAUCAGAGCUAGGCUGCAUAAAUGUUACUAUAGUGCAGAAAAUAUUGCUAUUAUCCUGUAUCAUUCAUUAAGUUGCUGUUAUUUUGAAGAGAAAAUUAAGGUGAAAAUAGAAAAGCUUGCUUUUCAAGUCAACCCAUACUUGUUAAAGAUGGGCACAGAAACAGUCUAGAAGCCAGCCACACUAAUUCUACUUAGGAAUUAGAAGUACACAUAUGCAGAACACUCAACCACUUACAUGCUAAUGAGCAAGUAAUUUGGUUCCUAAAAAGCCUCUUUGUCUGUCAGAGAUCCACAUCUGCACCAUUCAACUACAUUUUCCUUAAAAGCUGAGUCUAAACACAAAAAAUAUACGAGGAAAUAAUACCAGCUCCAACAAGUUCAGUAAAAUAAGUUAAAUUUCAAAAUCAACUUUUCUAGGCUGAGCUUCUUAAAUUUCCCACUAAAAUUUUUUUAUACAUUUAUUAAGUACAUGAGUAAAUAUGCUGGGAAAAUGUGUCAUAACUAGAUAUAUUAAAUGGCUGAUAAAAAAAAAAAAACUCAGGAUAAAACAUUUUACCAAAUAGCAGGAAAUUCCAAUAAUCUGUAUGAAUGCAACUGAUACAAGACCUCAGUUCUUAAUAAGCAAGUCACCACACCAGACCAGACCGCAACAUUGGACUGGUGUUUUAUUCCUCAAUUCAAUUUGGCCAAGUUGGAAUGGAAAGCAUUUUUCUCAAGUCAUUCAUUCAAACUAAGCUAUUAGAAGCAGUUGCUUUCAUGGACCCUGUUCACUGUCAAACACUUUAGGCUAAAAUAAAGUAUGGAAUUGAAAAAUGAUUCAAAAUAGUUUAUUUAUUUCAAUGAUUUGGAUGAAUUAAAAAUUAAAUGCAUGAGAAGCUGUAUAACUUCAAAAAUAUUUUAAUCAGUUUCAGUUUAGUUUUUGCAAAAGAAAUAGCAAUAUACGUGAGCACCAAAUAAAGUACCAGUCAAGUACUGGGGGUCAAUUUAAAUUCCUCCCACCUAGGUAGAAAAUACUGUCCUUACAUGCUUGAUAAGAGCAUAUUCUAUCAGGCUGACCCUUCAACAGACCCUAUCAAGAGGUGGUGGUCUGGUGACCCAAAAAUAUAUAGCUAUAAAGGCUAAAUGUUUGAAGAAUUCUGGUAAAGAACUGCCUUAUUUAAAAGGGCAAGAUUAAUGUGUGGAGGGGGGAAAAAGUAGCUACUUUUAGUCCCCCCCCCACAAUAAAAAGCAA